rnacentral:rRNA from 1 species
GAUGAACGCUGGCGGCGUGCCUAAUACAUGCAAGUCGAGCGAACAGACGAGGAUCUUGCUCCUCUGACGUUAGCGGCGGACGGGUGAGUAACACGUGGAUAACCUACCUAUAAGACUGGGAUAACUUCGGGAAACCGGAGCUAAUACCGGAUAAUAUAUUGAACCGCAUGGUUCAAUAGUGAAAGACGGUUUUGCUGUCACUUAUAGAUGGAUCCGCGCCGCAUUAGCUAGUUGGUAAGGUAACGGCUUACCAAGGCAACGAUGCGUAGCCGACCCGAGAGGGUGAUCGGCCACACUGGAACUGAGACACGGUCCAGACUCCUACGGGAGGCAGCAGUAGGGAAUCUUCCGCAAUGGGCGAAAGCCUGACGGAGCAACGCCGCGUGAGUGAUGAAGGUCUUCGGAUCGUAAAACUCUGUUAUUAGGGAAGAACAAAUGUGUAAGUAACUAUGCACGUCUUGACGGUACCUAAUCAGAAAGCCACGGCUAACUACGUG